rnacentral:lncRNA from 1 species
UCUGUCCUUUAAUUAGAAUUAGUUACAAAUAUAUUCUUACUAACACAAAAGUUUACCCUGUAUUUGUUGUCAGCUGUUGAUUGUUUUACUUAUGUUCCCUUAAUCAGUGUUCUGACCGUUGAUUGGUUGAAUUUGAUUUAGCUUUUGUUAAGCUGUGAGUAAUUCAGAAUUGUUGAGAAUAGUUGGGAAUUGCCAAUUACCAUGAAGUAUAGUUGAAUAAUAAUAUGUAGUUAGAAGGAUUGCAUCAAAGCUUUUUUAGAUUGGCCAACAAUUAUCAACUGUUUUUGAGUCUUUUCCUGUUUAUUUUGGCAUGAAAGUUUGUGAGAUAGAAUAAAGGGAUUAUGAUACUAGUUUAGUUAUAUCAAUGCUUCUAUUAAUAUUUUAAAUAUAAAAGUUAAAAGAACACGAAUUACAAAAUUUAACUAUGGAUAGAAAUAAUCUUUAGAUUCAAUGACUGAUUGGAGAUUUCAAAUUUGUUUAAAUUAAAAUUAUAUCAGCUGAGUUUUAUUACUUCAAUUGAAAUGCUUUCAAUUCCAUUGAAAUAUUUAUAUGAACAUAACAUUUCAUUUUUAUACGAAUCUACUUUCAACUUUGAGUAUAGUUUUGUUUAUAUUUUUCAUAUACAUCUACGAUUAUGAAUCUCCUAUUAAUGUUAAUGUAAGCAAAGGGAAAAGCAGAGAGUUGUAGAGCUUUUUUUUUUUUUUUUUUCAUGAGUUAUAAAAUGUUUGCAAUUUUGAUUAUCACUCCAACAUAAUAAUAUACAAAUUGAUGAGUAAGGAAACUAUUACAUAAAAAAGAGAGGCUUUAGAAACACCUAUGUAUACCACUUAAAUUAGAGAAUGAGUUGCUUUAAGGAUGCAGAAUGUCAGUUUUAUGAAAAAUGUGGUAACUUAUGGGAGGGUCCUUGUCCAGGUGGAGUCUGCGAGCUGGCACCUUGGUUCAUAUCAGUCUUUAUUUGGACGAUCAUCGGGACCUUGUGCGGAAUAGUACUUUGUUUUAGGUGUAAGUUUUGUCUCUUUCAUAAACUAUAUUUCAAAGAAGAUAGACGAAACUUGCUUCCCUUUAUGGGACAUAGCAGUGAGUACCGCUCUGAUCCAAGAAUGAGUUCUACCUUCCAAGACAUUGUCCUUGCAAGGAGUUUGUCACAACAGGCCGAUAGAUAUGUGUAAGCAUCUCAGGACUUAGCAUAAAGGUGAACAUCAAGAAACUUUAAGGAAUGGAUUAUUAUUAUACUUUGUAAGAUUCCAGAUUGUGUAAAAUAAAUCGAAAAAAUGAAUUAUGUAUAUUGAUAUUUUUAUAUUUCUACAUUCAAGUUAUUUACUCUUAUCAAUCUUUGGAAAUUAAUAACAUCCUAAAAAGAAAAUACAGAUGAUUAAUAUAGAAAUA